CUCAGCAGUGCGUAGUAGGCCAGCAUCGCGACGGCCCCCACCGCCAGGCCGAUCCAGUAGCCCUGCGGCGCCGGCCGGGUGGUGGCG
rnacentral:tRNA from 1 species